rnacentral:rRNA from 1 species
UACGUAGGGUGCGAGCGUUGUCCGGAAUUAUUGGGCGUAAAGAGCUCGUAGGCGGUCUGUCGCGUCGGCUGUGAAAACCCGGAGCUCAACUCCGGGCCUGCAGUCGAUACGGGCAAACUGGAGUGUUGCAGGGGAGACUGGAAUUCCUGGUGUAGCGGUGAAAUGCGCAGAUAUCAGGAGGAACACCGGUGGCGAAGGCGGGUCUCUGGGCAACAACUGACGCUGAGGAGCGAAAGCAUGGGGAGCGAACAGG